ACUGGGGGCGAUAGGGGAUGGAUACUGGAAUGUUCCACCCCCGAAAUGUUCCGACGCCUGAGGAUGGGACUGCGGUGGAUUAGGUCGUUGGAGGUGUAAUGGACCUCCAAGCCGAUAAUCCAUACGGGCGUUGAGAGACGGAGCCCGGAGACGGACUCUGAGACACGAGUCCGGGCCCUACGGGGCGCAGCAGGCGCGAAACUUUUACAAUGCCUGAAAGGGUGAUAAAGGAAUCCCGGGUGCUCUAGCAUAGCUAGGGCUUUUGCGUAGUGGAAAAAGCUACACGAAUAAGUGGUGGGCAAAACGGGUGCCAGCCGCCGCGGUAAUACCCGUGCCACAAGUGGUGAUCAUGAUUAUUGGGCCUAAAGCGUCCGUAGCCGGCCGGAUGGGUCCCCGGUGAAAUCCUACGCUAAAACGUAGGGCUUGCCGAAGGAAACUAUCCGGCUUGGGACCGGGAGAGGCUGGGGCUACUCCUGGGGUAGCCGGUAAAAAUGCUGUAAUCCUAGGAGGAACGCCUGUGGCGAAAGCCGCCCAAGUGGAACGGGUUCGACGGUGAAGGGACGAAAAGCCUGGGGGAGCAAAAGGGGAUCAAGAUACCCCCCGUAGUC
rnacentral:rRNA from 1 species